GGCGGACGGGUGAGUAAUGCUUGGGAAUAUGCCUUAUGGUGGGGGACAACAGUUGGAAACGACUGCUAAUACCGCAUGAUGUCUACGGACCAAAGUGGGGGACCUUCGGGUCUCACGCCAUAAGAUUAGCCCAAGUGGGAUUAGCUAGUUGGUGAGGUAAUGGCUCACCAAGGCGACGAUCCCUAGCUGGUUUGAGAGGAUGAUCAGCCACACUGGGACUGAGACACGGCCCAGACUCCUACGGGAGGCAGCAGUGGGGAAUAUUGCACAAUGGGCGCAAGCCUAAUGCAGCCAUGCCGCGUGUGUGAAGAAGGCCUUCGGGUUGUAAAGCACUUUCAGUAAGGAGGAAAGGUUAGUCACUAAUAUUGGCUAGCUGUGACGUUACUUACAGAAGAAGCACCGGCUAACUCCGUGCCAGCAGCCGCGGUAAUACGGAGGGUGCGAGCGUUAAUCGGAAUUACUGGGCGUAAAGCGUAC
rnacentral:rRNA from 1 species